AAUAUAUUUGCUUCAUGGGGGUGCAGUUUGGAAUUUUCUCAAUGGCUCAUUCAAAGCCUGUCAAGGAUACCAGCAGCGAAAUAACACUGUAAUGACACUUUUGCAAUGUGUGUGUGGCCCUGUGGCCUCUUUACCAGAUGGGUGGGGGGGUAGUAGAUACGAGACAUGGUUAAGCUCGGGGAAAGCAACUGACACUAAUUGUUGAAGACCUUGUAGAUCAGCAAGCUGGCUCAAAAUAUUUGUGAACAUUUCUCUGCAAGACUGAAAAGGCAGAAUGCAGUGUCAUCAUUCUGUGCCUCUAGGGACUGGAGUAAGCCAGUGACUAUGGUGAGAAAAAGCAUUUGGCUCUGUAUGUGGUUCCUUCUCCCAUCUUAUCCUCACAACAACCCUGCAGUGCAGGUGCGGCUGAGAGCUGUUGACUGACCCCAGGUCACCCACUCAGUUUCCUAGCUAAGCGGGGAUUUGAACUCAAGACUUGCCAGUCCUUGCCCAGAACUCUAACUACUACUCCGCACCUACUAUGCACAUGUGAUUGUGGGCUGUUACCUCUUUCCCCUACCAUGAGGUAAACCAUGCUUUUCCAGAAGCUCUAA